AGUAACUAUUGGAAACGAUAGCUAAUACCGCAUAAGAGUAGAUGUUGCAUGACAUUUGCUUAAAAGGUGCAAUUGCAUCACUACCAGAUGGACCUGCGUUGUAUUAGCUAGUUGGUGAGGUAACGGCUCACCAAGGCGACGAUACAUAGCCGACCUGAGAGGGUGAUCGGCCACACUGGGACUGAGACACGGCCCAG
rnacentral:rRNA from 1 species